rnacentral:tRNA from 1 species
GAGAGUACAGCUCAGUGGUAGAGUGUGUGCUUCACACACAGGAGGUCUUGGGUUCAAUCCUCAGUACCUUCA